UCCCUGAUGGUCCAGUGCUUAAGACUCUGUGCCUCCACUGCAGGAGUCACAGGUUCGAUCCCUGGUCAGGGAA
rnacentral:tRNA from 1 species